rnacentral:other from 1 species
GUUUUCCUGCGGUAUUCGUGACCUUGGUCCUACAUCUCUUACCGAUGCUUAUGGCUAAGGUAGUCAGCUCAGGCGCAGGUGUGAACCUCUCUAGUCAGAGGAUCCCGGAGCGCCUUUAUGGGCCGACCGCCAACUUGAACUUUAGGGUUCGAGAUGCCGACCUUGACGGUACCGCGGGUAUUUA